UCGAAUCCUACCAAAAAACCCUUUACCCGGGCUUUGACAUUGGUGGGAACCCCUUGCGAAAGCGAGGGGGUGCCGUCCUCUGGACGGAAUCCCACCACAGGUGGUGCAUGGCCGUCGUCAGCUCGUGUCGUGAGAUGUUGGGUUAAGUCCCGCAACGAGCGCAACCCCUGCCCCUAGUUGCUACCCCGAAUGGGGAGCACUCUAGGGGACUGCCGGCGAUAAGCCGGAGGAAGGUGGGGAUGACGUCAGGUCAGUAUGCCCUUUAUGCCCGGGCUACACAGGCGCUACAGUGGCCAGGAUAAUGGGAUGCGACCCAGUAAUGGGGAGCAAAUCCCCCAAACCUGGUCAUGGUGCGAAUUGAGGGCUGAAACUCGCCCUCAUGAAGCCGGAAUCGGUAGUAAUGGCGGAUCAGCUAAGCCGCCGUGAAUACGUUCUCGGGCCUUGCACACACCGCCCGUCACGCCACGGAAGUCAGUCUUCCCGGAAGGCCCCAAGCUAACCCGCAAGGGAGGCAGGGGACGAUGGGAAGGCUGGCAACUGGGGCGAAGUCGUAACAAGGUAA
rnacentral:rRNA from 1 species